AGAUUGUUUUCAUCUCUCACGGCAGUCGUCGGUCAUUGCGCUACGGCACGGCACGGCACCAUCAGGCCAGGCCAGUACAGAUUCCGUCAGGCUGUCGGUCGGACUGUCAGUCAGCGUGUGAGCGUGUGUGCGAGAGAAAGAGAGCAAACGUGCAAAACACUACGCCAAAGGGGUGAAGGAAGGAAGGAAACGAAACGUUACAAAAAAAAAGUUUGUGUGCUUUUGAUAAGAGGAGGACGGUCUUUGGGCUAAAGGGCUCGCGUUGGCAACUUUCGAUCUGUCGAGUGGUACGGAAUCGGGACCAGGAAUACAAGGGAUAUCUGCAGGGUCUUUCGAUGGGUAUCGACAGGACGGGAUGUUGAGUCUUUGAGGGUCGAGAAGACAGCUUUUCGGGCUACGCGGGAUUACUGCUACAGUCGGAAGAAUAAUUAGAAACCGGAUUAAUAUCAAAAAGUUCUGAGCAAGAUUUAUGGAAAGAUACCUGGAGGGUAAAAGUCUAUAACAAAGGAUAACUGAAAACAAUUCAAAGACUCACCAAUGUUCGAAAUCGAAGCAAUAUGAUUUCCCUAUCGGCACAGCAGCGCCACCACAGCAUUAUCCACAACGCUUUGUUAAUCUUCAGCAAUUGAGCAAGACUGAUUUACGUUUAAUACAAAACAUCAAGCAGAAAACGAACCUUACUAGAAAACAUCAACUAAUCCGCUGCAACUAUGUCCUACUCGAACGGAACGGCCGGCCAGCUCAACACGGGACCAGCGCCACCGCCCAGCACUCCCCGCCAGCCGCAGCCAGGCCGACCGCAGAGCUAUGCCGCCACUAGCGCCCUCUACACCAGCAAGGACUCGGCGGACCGGUUGCUGUGGGAGAUGCGCGCUGCCAACCGGACGCCCAACACCACCCCGGUCAGCACGGUUCUGAACUCACCCGAUCUGACCGAUCUGGACACGAAGAUGCGCUACCAGCACAGCACGCUGAUGCAGCAUCACCAGAUAAAGGUGGGCCGCAGCCCGGUCGGCAGCGGCGGCAACAACGACAGCAACGGCUCGACCAAUCCGUCGAGUCCGACGGCGAUCCGGGGUUCCGGGGGAGGAGGAGGAGGAGCAGGUCACCGACCGGAAGCCGGCUUUUCCUCCUUUUCGCUGCUGUCCGACGGCGAAAUGGUUGUCUUUGACGAUAUUGAUGUGAUGGGUGGCGGCGGCGGCGGAAGCUGGCGGAUGGCCGCAACGGAGCGGGACAUUCUGGGCAGUUCACCGGUGCCUUCGGAGAAUGAAAACAGCUGUGCUUCCAGCGGCGGGGGAGGGGACGAGCGGAACUACUACGAUGUAGAUAGCAGUAAAAUUCAGCGGAUUAUCGGAGGACUGACGAUCGCCGAGUACGAGGGAUCGCCGAGGAGGUUCGGGAACAUUGAUCGGGAUGAGGUGGAGCCCGGGGGAGCCACCGGAGGUGGUAGCGGGAAGAUCGGUGGAAUGCCAAGGCCUGGCUUUCCGAAGCGCGUCAUAUCCCCGUGCAUGUCCGACGCCAAGGGCGUCGACCCGCAGCAGUCCUCGGAGCUGAUCGACCUGAACGACGACGGUAGCGAACCCGGCCGGGGACUGCUCCUCUCCAACCGCAUCAGCGACAGUAAGUUCAACCUGGCGACGUACGUCGACUACUUCGGAUCCGUCGUUGGCAGCGAACUAGCGCCGACGGACGACCUGGACCCGAAUAACCAAACCCCAACCAAUGUUCUACUAACCAGUGACGAAGGUAACGACGGUGGUGGUGACGGUAGACGACCAGACGACGAUGACUACUUUUUCUCGUACUCUACGAACCGUAACGCACAAAACAACUCGUACGUAGGGCACCGGCUUGCAACGCGUCGCGGCAGCCUGGAACGGUCCGAAUCCGACGAAAGACAGCAGGAGGAAGACUCGGACGCAACCGUCGCCAACAACUACCCGUACUACCAAAAGUACAGCAACCAGCACUAUCAUUACACCGGAAGUGUAGCGCCACAACCGGAAACGCACAAUCAGCAGCAGCAACAACGCUACUAUCAUUCCCAUCACGCUCACUAUCACGGUUACGGUUCUAACACGGGUGGCGGGGACUCGCAGGACAUUGAGCUGUACAUAGAUUCCGGCAGUCGUAGCGAGUCGGAGCUGGAACAGCAGCAAUAUAAACAGCACAUGCAUCAACAGAUGCAGCAGCAGCACCAGCAUUCCCAGAUAGAUAGUAAAUUGAGGAAUUUUACCCUUUCGCCGGAAACGACCGACUACGACUCCAACUGUGGCGAUCUGGACUCGGAAGUGUCGCUGCGGUACAUCGGGAACGAAUAUGGCCUCUCCGCCGACCUGAACGGCCUGUCCGGCCACGGCCAGAGCGACAACGUGACCGACUAUGGUCGCCUGUACAGCAGCAUGCCAAUCCUGGAGGACGGUCUGUCCAGCGGGCACGCUUCCGACACCGAGAACAAUCUACCUCCGCCCGGGUCGGGGAUCUCGAUCGUCAUGGACCACCACCAACAACCGGCGCCGCAGCAGGUUCCGCCUCCCGGAUCGGUAGACGAAGAACCGGUGGAGCCGGAGUGCGACCAUCCGUACAUUUCUUCCAUUCAGAGGGCGGCGGAACAGCAGCAACAACAGCUGGAUUCCAGCGAUGAGGUGCAGGAAGCCAUCAAGGACAUCAAAGCCGCACUGCAAAUGACCAAAAUACUGCCUUCUACCGAGGGAACCUCGGUGCUCGACCUGGACGGACAGGAUGGGCCGAGUUCGACGUCACCCGUGUGGGUUCCGAGAUCGUACAGCAAGUCCCGGGAAAGCAUAGACUCGGACCAACCUGCAAAGUUGCUUAGUGCCGACGAGGAGGAAGCCGACACCGACCUGGAGACGGACCGUCUGCUGGGUCAGCAACGGCUGGACGAUCACGGGUUCGGGGACGACAAGAGCUGGACGGAACGGCCCAAGAUUCGCUCGGUCCGGUCGCCGUCGGUGAACCUGAUCAGCAAGAACCACACCGCGAUCCGGGCCGGCGUCGGGACGCAGCUGUCGGCGGAAUCGCCGGUCAACAACGUCGGCAUCACCAACGUGUACGGCAACGGUGGAAGCGUUCCGCUCGGAACCGGAGCGGAAGAGGACGCGACGACCCAGCCACUGCCGGCCAGCGCCGAAAAGAGUCCGGCGGUCAAGAAUGAUCAGGACAAAACAGGCCUCUUGGAUCCGGCAGUCCUGAUCGAGGGCGUUCUCUUCCGGGCCCGCUACCUCGGCUCGACCCAGCUCGUUUGCGAGGGUCAACCCACCAAGUCGACCCGCAUGAUGCAAGCCGAGGAGGCCGUUUCGAGGAUCAAGGCUUUGGCCCCGGAAGGUGAAUCCCAGCCGAGUACCGAGGUCGACCUGUUCAUUUCGACCGAGAAGAUCAUGGUGCUGAACACGGACCUGAAGGAGAUCAUGAUGGACCACGCGUUGCGGACGAUCUCGUACAUCGCGGACAUUGGCGACCUGGUGGUGCUGAUGGCGCGGAGACGGUUCGUGCCGCAGGACGCCGAUCCCGGCGAUCCGGCGUUGACCAGUUCGAACCCGCCACCGCCUACGCCUACGGCAGCAGACAACGGUGCAAGUCCGCCGAAAAGCAAGUCGUUGCCGCGGGGUAACCGAACGCCCAAGAUGAUCUGUCACGUGUUCGAGAGCGAGGAGGCCCAGUUCAUCGCGCAAUCGAUCGGGCAGGCCUUCCAGGUGGCGUACAUGGAAUUUCUGAAGGCGAACGGAAUUGAGGAUCACAGCUUUAUGAAGGAGAUGGACUACCAGGAGGUGCUCAACAGUCAGGAGAUCUUCGGCGAUGAGCUGGAGAUCUUCGCCAAGAAGGAGCUGCAGAAGGAGGUUGUGGUGCCGAAGGCGAAGGGAGAGAUUCUCGGAGUUGUGAUCGUGGAGUCGGGCUGGGGAUCGAUGCUGCCGACGGUGGUGAUUGCGAAUCUGGCCUCGUCGGGGGCGGCUGCCCGCUGCGGGCAGCUCAACAUUGGCGAUCAGAUCAUCGCGAUCAACGGGCUGAGCUUGGUGGGUCUGCCGCUGUCGACGUGCCAGAGCUACAUCAAGAACGCCAAGAAUCAGACGGCGGUAAAGUUUACGGUGGUGCCGUGUGCGCCGGUGGUGGAGGUUCGGAUCAAGCGGCCGAACACCAAGUACCAGCUGGGCUUCAGCGUGCAGAACGGAGUGAUCUGCAGUUUGCUGCGCGGAGGAAUCGCCGAACGGGGUGGAGUGCGCGUUGGCCACCGGAUCAUCGAAAUCAACAACCAAAGUGUAGUGGCGGUUCCGCACGAAAAGAUCGUCAACCUGCUGGCGACGUCGGUGGGCGAGAUUCACAUGAAAACAAUGCCGACGUCGAUGUUCCGGUUGCUAACAGGCCAGGAGAAUCCGAUUUACAUCUAAGGAAGUACCGCGAUUGUGAUACCGGAGCGGAGCGGAGGAUGAGAAAUCCGCGCGCGGAACUAGAACUUAAGUAAAAAAAAGGAGAAUGAGAAACUGUUAGGUUGUUAAC